UUAACAAAUGAGAAUCCGAUGCUCGAUGCCGCGUGAGUGAAGAAGGCCUUUGGGUUGUAAAGCUCUUUUGUAGGGGAAGAUAAUGACUGUACCCUAAGAAUAAGGUCCGGCUAACUUCGUGCCAGCAGCCGCGGUAAUACGAAGGGACCUAGCGUAGUUCGGAAUUACUGGGCGUAAAGCGCGCGUAGGCCGUUGAGUUAGUUAAUUGUGAAAUCCCAAAGCUUAACUUUGGAACUGCAAUUAAAACUGCUCGACUAGAGUUUGAUAGAGGAAGGCGGAAUACAUAGUGUAGAGGUGAAAUUCGUAGAUAUUAUGUAGAACACCAGUUGCGAAGGCGGCUUUCUGGGUCAACACUGACGCUGGGGCGCGAAAGUAUGGGUAGCAAAGAGGAUUAGAUACCCUCGUAGUCCAUACCAUAAACGAUGAUUGCUAGAUGUUGGAAAUUUAUUUUCAGUAUCGCAGCUAACGCAUUAAGCAAUCCGCCUGGGGAGUACGACCGCAAGGUUAAAACUCAAAUGAAUUGACGGGGACCCGCACAAGCGGUGGAGCAUGUGGUUUAAUUCGAAGAUACGCGCAGAAACUUACCAACCCUUGACAUGUCUGUCGCGAGUUAGGAAACUAGACUUUACGGUUCCGGCGGACAGAACACAGGUGCUGCUUGGUUGUCUCAGCUCGUGUCGUGA
rnacentral:rRNA from 1 species